UACGGAGGGGACUAGCGUUGUUCGGAAUUACUGGGCGUAAAGCGCACGUAGGCGGAUUUGUAAGUCAGGGGUGAAAUCCCGAGGCUCAACCUCGGAACUGCCUUUGAUACUGCAAAUCUCGAGUCCGGAAGAGGUGAGUGGAAUUCCUAGUGUAGAGGUGAAAUUCGUAGAUAUUAGGAAGAACACCAGUGGCGAAGGCGACUCACUGGACACGUAUUGACGCUGAGGUGCGAAAGCGUGGGGAGCAAACAGG
rnacentral:rRNA from 1 species